rnacentral:rRNA from 1 species
GGGUUGUGAGGUUAAGCGACUAAGCGUACACGGUGGAUGCCCUGGCAGUCAGAGGCGAUGAAGGACGUGCUAAUCUGCGAUAAGCGCCGGUAAGGUGAUAUGAACCGUUAUAACCGGCGAUUUCCGAAUGGGGAAACCCAGUGUGAUUCGUCACACUAUCAUUAACUGAAUCCAUAGGUUAAUGAGGCGAACCGGGGGAACUGAAACAUCUAAGUACCCCGAGGAAAAGAAAUCAACCGAGAUUCCCCCAGUAGCGGCGAGCGAACGGGGAGGAGCCCAGAGCCUGAAUCAGCAUGUGUGUUAGUGGAAGCGUCUGGAAAGGCGCGCGAUACAGGGUGACAGCCCCGUACACAAAAGCGCAUGUGCUGUGAGCUCGAUGAGUAGGGCGGGACACGUGGUAUCCUGUCUGAAUAUGGGGGGACCAUCCUCCAAGGCUAAAUACUCCUGACUGACCGAUAGUGAACCAGUACCGUGAGGGAAAGGCGAAAAGAACCCCGGCGAGGGGAGUGAAAAAGAACCUGAAACCGUGUACGUACAAGCAGUGGGAGCCCCACCACUAAGCCAGUGGUGAACUCCACAUACGCAUCCUUUGCUGAGGAUACGGUUAACGGAGCGAAAGCGACGUUCAACCUCAAAAGAAGCAGAGGGGGCUUAGUGGUGGGGUGACUGCGUACCUUUUGUAUAAUGGGUCAGCGACUUAUAUUCUGUAGCAAGGUUAACCGUAUAGGGGAGCCGGAGGGAAACCGAGUCUUAAUUGGGCGUUAAGUUGCAGGGUAUAGACCCGAAACCCGGUGAUCUAGCCAUGGGCAGGUUGAAGGUUGGGUAACACUAACUGGAGGACCGAACCGACUAAUGUUGAAAAAUUAGCGGAUGACCUGUGGCUGGGGGUGAAAGGCCAAUCAAACCGGGAGAUAGCUGGUUCUCCCCGAAAGCUAUUUAGGUAGCGCCUCGUGAAUUCAUCUUCGGGGGUAGAGCACUGUUUCGGCUAGGGGGUCAUCCCGACUUACCAACCCGAUGCAAACUGCGAAUACCGGAGAAUGUUAUCACGGGAGACACACGGCGGGUGCUAACGUCCGUCGUGAAGAGGGAAACAACCCAGACCGCCAGCUAAGGUCCCAAAGUCAUGGUUAAGUGGGAAACGAUGUGGGAAGGCCCAGACAGCCAGGAUGUUGGCUUAGAAGCAGCCAUCAUUUAAAGAAAGCGUAAUAGCUCACUGGUCGAGUCGGCCUGCGCGGAAGAUGUAACGGGGCUAAACCAUGCACCGAAGCUGCGGCAGCGAACGUAUCACUUAAAGCGAUUCAGCGGGUUACGAUUGACGGAGCGAAGCGACGUCAAAGCGUAUACAAAGUCGAGUCGGUUUAAGGAUACGUUCGUUGGGUAGGGGAGCGUUCUGUAAGCCUGUGAAGGUGUGUCGUGAGGCAUGCUGGAGGUAUCAGAAGUGCGAAUGCUGACAUAAGUAACGAUAAAGCGGGUGAAAAGCCCGCUCGCCGGAAGACCAAGGGUUCCUGUCCAACGUUAAUCGGGGCAGGGUGAGUCGACCCCUAAGGCGAGGCCGAAAGGCGUAGUCGAUGGGAAACGGGUUAAUAUUCCCGUACUUGGUGUUACUGCGAAGGGGGGACGGAGAAGGCUAUGUUGGCCGGGCGACGGUUGUCCCGGUUUAAGCGUGUAGGUGUGUGUUCCAGGUAAAUCCGGUUCACUUUAACACUGAGGCGUGAUGACGAGGCACUACGGUGCUGAAGCAACAAAUGCCCUGCUUCCAGGAAAAGCCUCUAAGCAUCAGGUAACAUCAAAUCGUACCCCAAACCGACACAGGUGGUCAGGUAGAGAAUACCAAGGCGCUUGAGAGAACUCGGGUGAAGGAACUAGGCAAAAUGGUGCCGUAACUUCGGGAGAAGGCACGCUGACACGUAGGUGAAGUGAUUUACUCACGGAGCUGAAGUCAGUCGAAGAUACCAGCUGGCUGCAACUGUUUAUUAAAAACACAGCACUGUGCAAACACGAAAGUGGACGUAUACGGUGUGACGCCUGCCCGGUGCCGGAAGGUUAAUUGAUGGGGUCAGCGCAAGCGAAGCUCCUGAUCGAAGCCCCGGUAAACGGCGGCCGUAACUAUAACGGUCCUAAGGUAGCGAAAUUCCUUGUCGGGUAAGUUCCGACCUGCACGAAUGGCGUAAUGAUGGCCAGGCUGUCUCCACCCGAGACUCAGUGAAAUUGAACUCGCUGUGAAGAUGCAGUGUACCCGCGGCAAGACGGAAAGACCCCGUGAACCUUUACUAUAGCUUGACACUGAACAUUGAGCCUUGAUGUGUAGGAUAGGUGGGAGGCUUUGAAGUGUGGACGCCAGUCUGCAUGGAGCCGACCUUGAAAUACCACCCUUUAAUGUUUGAUGUUCUAACGUGGACCCGU